UCACCCCUCAAGCCCGGCUUGUUGUUGGACGCCGGCGGGGCCUCUCGGGGCCCCGCCCGUCUCAAAGAUAAUGACGGCGUCUGUGAGGACUCCUGUACACUGAGCUUUCGGGCACGUACUAGGCUAGAACUCCAGGCCCGGUCUUUUGGCUUGUCGCCCGUAACACGGCGGCCGGCCGCACUUUUUUACAA
rnacentral:misc_RNA from 1 species